rnacentral:rRNA from 1 species
CCAUCCAUUGAGUUUGAUCAUGGCCUCAGGAACGAACGCUUGGCGUGACGNUGCCUCAAUACAUGACUAAGCUCGUAGCGAAACCGUAAGGCAGACUUGACUCCUUUAUGCUUAGCGGCGGCACGGGUGUAGUAACACGUGGGCAACCUGCCCUGCAGACUGGGAUAACUUCGGGUAAACCGGCAGCUAAUACCGGAUAACACCGCAAAACCGNGUGGUUUUCGGUUGAAAGGCGGCUUUUAGCUGUCACUGCAGGACGGGCCCGCGGAGCAUUAGCUAGUUGGUGAGGUAACGGCUCACCAAGGCAACGAUGCGUAGCCGACCUGAAAGGGUGACCGGCCACACUGGGACUGAGACACGGCCCAUACUCCUACGGGAGGCAGCAGUAGGGAAUCUUCCGCAAUGGACGAAAGUCUGACGGANCAACGCCGCGUGAGCGAAGAAAGUCUUCAGAUCGUAAAGCUCUGUUGUCAGGGAAGAACAAANGCCGUUCGAACAGGGCGGUACCUUGUACGGUACCUGACGAGGAAGCCUCGGCUAACUACGUGCCACCCAGCNCGCCGGUAAUACGUAGGUGGGCAAGCGUUGUCCCGGAAUUAUUGGGCGUAAAGCCGCGCGCCAGGCNGGGUUUCCUUAAAUCCUGANGUGAAAAACUCGUCGGCUCACCCCGCGAAGCGGUCCAUUUGGAAUACUGGGAAAACUUUGAGUUGCCANGGAGAGGGAGAACCGGACAUUCCCACGNUGUAAGCNGUGGAAAUUGC